rnacentral:rRNA from 1 species
GGUUUGAUUAUGGCUCAGGAUGAACGCUGGCGGCGUGCUUAACACAUGCAAGUCGAACGAACCUUCGGGUUAGUGGCGGACGGGUGAGUAACGCGUGGGAAUCUGCCCUCAGGAGGGGGAUAACGGCCGGAAACGGCCGCUAAUACCCCAUAUGCCGAGAGGUGAAAUGAAUUUCGCCUGAGGAUGAGCCCGCGUCUGAUUAGCUAGUUGGUGAGGUAAGAGCUCACCAAGGCAUCGAUCAGUAGCUGGUCUGAGAGGAUGAUCAGCCACACUGGGACUGAGACACGGCCCAGACUCCUACGGGAGGCAGCAGUGGGGAAUUUUCCGCAAUGGGCGAAAGCCUGACGGAGCAACGCCGCGUGAGGGAUGAAGGCCUCUGGGCUGUAAACCUCUUUUAUCAAGGAAGAAGAUCUGACGGUACUUGAUGAAUAAGCCACGGCUAAUUCCGUGC